rnacentral:rRNA from 1 species
CCUACGGGAGGCAACAGUGAGGAAUAUUGGUCAAUGGGCGAGAGCCUGAACCAGCCAAGUCGCGUGAGGGAGUACUGCCCUAUGGGUUGUAAACCUCUUUUGUCGGGGAGCAAAAGCCGGACGUGUCCGGCUGUGAGAGUACCCGAAGAAAAAGCAUCGGCUAACUCCGUGCCAGCAGCCGCGGUAAUACGGAGGAUGCGAGCGUUAUCCGGAUUUAUUGGGUUUAAAGGGUGCGCAGGCGGAUUUUUAAGUCAGCGGUAAAAUCGUGGGGCUCAACCCCAUCCAGCCGUUGAAACUGGGGAUCUAGAGUGGGCGAGAGGUAUGCGGAAUGCGUGGUGUAGCGGUGAAAUGCAUAGAUAUCACGCAGAACCCCGAUUGCGAAGGCAGCAUACCGGUGCACAACUGACGCUCAGGCACGAAAGCGUGGGUAUCGAACAGGAUUAGAUACCCCGGUAGUC